UUACCAUUAAAUUCUGAGUCGAAAUAAUAUAUUUUAAACAAAAUUUAAAAUAUUAAUGGAGUUUUUUAAUUACUGAAAAAAAAAAAGGUUUUUUGGUCCCGAUCUGUCAACGUAGAAGUGCAACGUCUGAAGUGCGCCACCGCCCAUCCAUGUGAACGAAGCAUCGAUUACCACGAAUUAUCUUCUGAUAGUUUUCCUUUUUUAAAAAAUCUUAUAUUGCUUUAUUAUAUAUAUAUUUUUGAAUUUCUUGGCCCUGACACUCUCCAACCAACAAAGAAACUGCAUUUUUCAAGUUAUUUUUACCAAUUUUUACAUACUCGUACAUUUCGUUUAUCAUAGAAAACAUCUUGCCAUUCAUACGAAUGCCUUUGUCUGAUCUGAUCGUGUCAACAUGCUAAUCCGUUCUUUUCGCUGGCCGAAGCCCCGUGUCAAAUUUUGCAUCUUUCCAUUGAUACGUAUCUAAUAGAAGCAUUCUGGCAUGUGUCAGGCAACAAGUUACAUGAAUGGCAUGGUUCCCUUUGGGUGCCAAGCCUGGCCUACACCCUCCGUAAUUGAAACUGUUUGCUGGUGUGAUAGGUUUGGUAUUAUGAAAGAUUUUGUUCAUUUGUUUGUUUUUGUGCUUAGGUCUUGGAUCAAGUAAUUACAUGGACGUGGAGUGGCUAUAUGGGACUUAAUUUCUCUUCUGUUGGUUGAGUUGGAGAAACAGGGAUUGGUAAGAAUGGGAAGAAAGCAUAAUUAACACCUCAACUUUUGUUAUUUUGUCUAUUAGGCAGGACCAACAAUUUUAUUUCCACUCUCAUCUUUAGAAUUCUUGUAUGGUAGCUGUUGCUGCAGGACACUCUCCUUGGUUUGUUAGUUAGGAGACAGCAUACCAAGAUCAAGUCCAAGAGAUCUAAUUUACAGGCCGGCAACACAAUAUAGAUUGUUCAACUUUGUUUUCUUGCCUUGGUGGUGUAAUUGAAUUAUAUUUAAAUUCAAAAUUUUUUGAAGCUAUUUACCUACUAGUGAGAAAGGCAUGUGUGAAAAGUUGCUGAAAUGUGUGAACAGAGCAAUAUGCAUGUUCCCCUUUGGGUGCCAAGCCUGGCCUACACCCUUUGUAAUUGAAACUGUUUGCUGGUGUGAUAGGUUUGGCAUUAUGAAGGAUUUUGUUCAUUUAUUUGGUUUUGUGUGUGUUUUUUUUUUUUUGCUUAGGUGUUGGAUCAAGUAAUAACAUGGAGGUGGAGUGGCAAUAUGGGACUUAAUUUCUCUUCUGUUGGUCUAGGUGGAGAAACAGGGAUUGGCAGGACCAACAAUUUUAUUUCCACUCUCAUCUUUAGAAUUCUUGUAUGGUAGCUGUUGCUGCAGGACACUCUCCUUGGUUUGUUACUUAGGAGACAGCAUACCAAGAGCAAGUCCAAGAGAUCUAAUUUACAGGCCGGCAACACAAUAUAGAUUGUUUAACUUUGUUUUCUUGCCUUGGUGGUGUAAUUGAAUUAUAUUGGAAUUUAAAAGUUUUUGAAGCUA